GACGAACGCUGGCGGCGUGCUUAACACAUGCAAGUCGAACGGAAAGGCCCUGCUUUUGUGGGGUGCUCGAGUGGCGAACGGGUGAGUAACACGUGAGUAACCUGCCCUUGACUUUGGGAUAACUUCAGGAAACUGGGGCUAAUACCGGAUAGGAGCUCCUGCUGCAUGGUGGGGGUUGGAAAGUUUCGGCGGUUGGGGAUGGACUCGCGGCUUAUCAGCAUGUUGGUGGGGUAGUGGCUUACCAAGGCUUUGACGGGUAGCCGGCCUGAGAGGGUGACCGGCCACAUUGGGACUGAGAUACGGCCCAGACUCCUACGGGAGGCAGCAGUGGGGAAUAUUGCACAAUGGGCGGAAGCCUGAUGCGGCAACGCCGCGUGCGGGAUGACGGCCUUCGGGUUGUAAACCGCUUUCGCCUGUGACGAAGCGUGAGUGACGGUAAUGGGUAAAGAAGCACCGGCUAACUACGUG
rnacentral:rRNA from 1 species